UUGAGGGUGUGCAUAUAUACGAGACUGAAUAGUGAAGUCGUGCUCGAUUUUCUUUUACAUUACUUCCUAAUGGUGUAUGUGUGAUAUGUGAGUCCCACUUUAUUAGUUUGCAACACUCUGCUGGAGGGGCCACCAACAGCUCAGGUGUGUCACGUCUAUUUGUCAUAUUCCAUGGAAGGAGGAAAAGUCAAGAGUGUGUCUGCGCAUGAGACCAGCCAGAAUGCAAAAGUGAUCAUUGACAUGGCAUCCCCACAAGGACUGUAGAUGGAGGCUUCCUAUUGUGAAAUGCCAGAGAGCCUCCUAUCAUGGAAAUGGACCUCUUCUCAGCUUUCCCGUUCAAAGCU